rnacentral:lncRNA from 1 species
CGGAAAAGCAUCUAAAGGAAACUAAACUGAUUAAUACAAAAACAAGGAAGGAAACUAGUAUUAAUAACUUUAGAUAAUCCAAGCUCAGCCUCGAACAUCAGUUUCCUUCUUACCCUUGUCCUGUUCAACCUGUUUAUCUGGAAAAAAAAAUAAAGGGAGUGGGUUGAGACUCUANNNNNNNNNNNNNNNAAAGUGUAUCACACAAUAAUUAUCUAGGUUCAUUUUUAUGUAGACAAACUGAGGUGAGUUAGGCUCAGGAGGUCUACCUAGUCGGUCAAAUUCCCUAUCGAGGGCUAGAACACGACUCCUUGACUCAUCUUAUCGUCAUGUGGAAUUCCCUCUGGGAAACCAACCAAAUUAUCCAACUCCUAUAUUAGGCGGUCUCUGGUAUCACUAGGAUCAUAACUUAACAUUUUAUUCAUAAACAUGGUCCAAAGCCCACUGAAACAUUUCAUAAUUAGAUAUGGCACAAGGGUCAUAAUCAAUUCCAUAAGAUUAACCGUCUAAGUUCUAUAGGUUUUCUAAACCUCUUGUGAAUUAUGAACCACUUAGGUCGCUACUUUAGUGCUUGCUGGUCUUUCUAAAUUCAUUCCUUCUAUGUUAAUCAUCAGGAGAACUAUUUAUAUUUCCCUUGUGUAACCAUAUCAAUCACACAUUAUUGCUAUAAGUUAUGCUUACUAAUUCUCAAGUCUUAGCUACUUAGCCUAACCAAAAAUUUUAGGUGCAUAUAAAAUGCUAAAAUUAUAACUAGAAGUUGUAGGCAUUUUCCAAAACUUGUUGAGGAUCGAAUGACACUUAAAAAGAGUAUUUUUAUCAAGUUCAAAACAAUUUCAUUCAUCCUCAAUCUAUCACAUCAUUAAAAUACCACUUCUAAAUAUAAUUUUAACAUAACAAUGAGCUUUGGGGUGAAAAGUUCAUCAUACACAACUUCUCAUAAUGAUUCUAUCACAUGCAUAAAAAUUGGGGAUAACUAGAUUAUCAUGCAUGUGUAAUAUCCUUCAAAAUAGCAUUUAAAGAACAUUAGGAGUACAAUGAGAAUCUAAUACUCCAAUUUGUCAUUGUAUCUAAACCUAUAGUGAACAAUUAGUUCUAAAUUGGCCAAACCUAAAAUGGGUAGGCUAACCUAAAGGAACCCACCUCAAAUUAGCCGAUAAAAUGGUAGUGGUUCGCUAAUCCCAACUUCAAGCUUCUAGUUCCAGCCUCAUUCUUCUAUCCUUUCCGAUACCGAUCCUUCAACUCCAACUCCGAUUCUAACUCCUCUGCUACAAUGUGUCAAUAACAGUUCCGGGAUUCGACGAAAAGUGAAAUCUUCAACUAGAACAAAUGAAAGCCGAAACCAGUUUUUCUGCACAAACAUACCAACAGUACCUCAACUUUCGCAAUUUAAUUAAAAUAUCAAACGAUCUCCAUUUUGAGUAAACGACCACUCUUUGGAAAGCUAAGGAUGUCAAGAUCACAAAUAUAAUUUUUGUUUUGAUAGUUAACCAUCCAAUUGGUCCAGUUUAACAAAAGUGUGGGUGCUGGUACAAAAACAGGGAAGGAUGAUUUAUCAAUCUUGCAAGCAGAAUUCCUCUUAUUAUACUUGAUGAAAUUUCAUAAUUCCAGUGACUGUUUCAUGUAAAUUUCUGUCUUCUUUCCAAUGGUUUCGGUUUUGUGUCAAAACGAUUUAUGUAACGAAACUUAGGAUUAAUUUACCAACAAUAGGUCCAUACGGGUUUGACAGAAAUUUCUACUACUUUCAUGUACACUUGUGGAAUCAAACAUGUAUACAAGUCCAUUAAUGAUAAAACCAGACAAUUUUAACUUAUAAAAUCCCGUUUUCCAUCAUUUAAGGUCCUAGGGUUUGGUACAAAAGAGAAAGAACACAGAGGAAAGGUUUGAUUCAUCUUACCUUAAACUUCUGGACAUCUAGUAUCUCAAUUCCAAGUAGAAUUUCAUCAUGCAAGGGCCAGAUUUGCAGAAUCUUUUAAAUGGAGAGUUUGGGGCGGUUUAACCAUUU